rnacentral:rRNA from 1 species
AGGACGAACGCUUGCGGCGUGCCUAAGAAAUGCAAGUCGAGCGGGGGAGCAAUCCCUAGCGGCGAACGGUCGCGUAACACGUAAGCAACCUGCCCGAAAGACCGGGACAACAGCUCGAAAGGGCUGCUAAUACCGGAUGUGCCCACUUUGCCUCAUGGCUUGGUGAGUAAAUCAUUUAUGGCUUUCGGAGGGGCUUGCGGCCUAUCAGCUAGAUGGCGGUGUAACGGACCACCAUGGCGACGACGGGUAGCUGGU